rnacentral:lncRNA from 8 species
UACGACCCCACUUUCACCUCUAUGGCAAAUGUUUUAUUUAACCUUUAUUUAACUUGGUAAGUCAUCACAGGAAGGCUAAUGGAUUUGGUGUGUGUGUUUGUAUUUGUGUGUGGAGUGUGUGUGCGUGCAUGCUUGCACAUGUGCGUGUGUAAGUGUCUGUAUUAAAUGUUGUUUAUUAAAAAAAACUAUUCAUAUGGCAUUUCCUUCCCUCCUCCGACCCCUUUUAGAGUCACUGCCUGACUUAGAGACCCCUCAGACCGCCGCAUCAACAUGGAGGAAUAUAUCCCGUUAACAAGACUGACUGUUAAAUCCCUGGGGAGCUGUCAUCCCUCUUCAUUAAGGCGGGGCAAUGUCCAACGUCAUCCGCGUGUGAGAGCCUGGCCAGUGGGCGGCAGAUGGGGCAGGUUGGACGGCACACCUCUGGAAGACUACUGUUUCAGACUGAUAGCAGCACCGCAGACCCUCAUCAUCAGACAGACACAGGGAGAGGACACUGAUCCAAUCUUGGCAGUAAGUCUCUCCUGUCUUUCUGUGUUUAUGAGCUGUGAAGUGUUUCCGUGUCAAGUGUUUCUCAACUCCCAGCAAUGUUUGUGUUUGUUUGCACCUCAUGAACUAUUUGGUGAGCAUGUUCCUACACUCACCGUGUGGGAGCAGGGACACCAUUAAAGAGUAAUAGAAUCAAUAGAGACCAGGUAGUGUACAGUGGUAAUAUUUUGAACACACUCCCUGUACUAACACAGAUAUCAAUUCUGAUAUUAAAAUUGUAACAAUAAAAAUUUGCCUGAGUUAGUUUAAUAUUGGCUAAACAUAGAGCCUAAAAAUGUUCUCUUGAAUUGAAAUGACAUCUUCCUUCCUUACUUUCUCUCAGAAAAUGAGCUUGGCUCGGAUCCAUGAUAAACACAAGCUAAAGAAAUACUGGGAGGAGAAAAUCGAAAGUCACAGCGAUAUGAUGGGGAGUGAGGAAUCCAGAAUGAAGAGCAGUGCUUUAUCAAAGUAAGUAUCUCUGCCAAUAGCCACAUUGCCUUAUCAGCUAUAGACCAUCACUGUUAUGAUGAAUAAUGCUGUAGAAAAGUAGAUUUUCAAACCUCAGGAAAAGGAAAAUGCAUUUUCUUGUCUUAUUAAAGUCUACUUUAUAGACAGUAAUUACCAUUGGAAUUCUGUCCCCAUGUACAACCAUAAGAUACUUACACUAGGGCUCACUGAGUAAUUGGCUUUGGUUUUUUUCC